rnacentral:rRNA from 1 species
UGGGGAAUUUUGGACAAUGGGCGCAAGCCUGAUCCAGCCAUGCCGCGUGAGUGAAGAAGGCCUUCGGGUUGUAAAGCUCUUUCAGCCGGGAAGAAAGCGCGCCCCUGAACAGGGGGCGUGGAUGACGGUACCGGACCAAGAAGCACCGGCUAACUACGUGCCAGCAGCCGCGGUAAUACGUAGGGUGCGAGCGUUAAUCGGAAUUACUGGGCGUAAAGCGUGCGCAGGCGGUCUUGUAAGACAGAUGUGAAAUCCCCGGGCUCAACCUGGGAACUGCGUUUGUGACUGCAAGGCUGGAGUACGGUAGAGGGGGGUGGAAUUCCUGGUGUAGCAGUGAAAUGCGUAGAUAUCAGGAGGAACACCGAUGGCGAAGGCAGCCCCCUGGGCCUGUACUGACGCUCAUGCACGAAAGCGUGGGGAGCAAACAGG